UAUUGAGAGCCUACUUUCCAUUGGAUAGUCGUGGGCAAAAACGGUGUAGGAGGAGAAAAGGCCCCAUACCUCCAUACCCUCUAUCCACCUCUAUCUACCCAACAAGUGGGCUGGGAGAGUAAUAGUGUCUACACUGCAGAAGUGAAGAAACUGAAAUUUAGGCUAAGCCCCAAUUGCCUGAUGCCAUACAGCUACAUGUAGUGGUGAAUGUGAGAUUAAGACAUGGAUUUGUCUGGCUCUGAAAUCCCUGUGCCUUGCACAACAAUAAAAGUCAGAAGAGAAAGAGCUGCCUUGAAGGUGCUCAGCCCAUUUCUGGUCCCACCUACCUCCUACAAUGGCUGUUUGAUUAGUUGGAAAACCUAUGUCUGAAUUAUGGAAGAUUGAAAAUGCACCCCCAACUCAAUUCUUCGAUUCUUUCCUUUGGUGGAGAGAUGGUGAAGUCAAGGGAAAAAACUCUCCUCAAACCAAAAAACAAAGUUCAUGGACUAUUCCUCUACAUUCUUUCCCUGAAGCCAUUGAAUAUUAACUGAAAUAAAUCUAUUUGUAUCUUAAAACCGUAUUCAUCCAUAAAAAAACCUGUUUUUCUUAUUUCUCUCAUUUUUUAAAAAUUUUA